UAGGGGGCAAGCGUUAUCCGGAUUUACUGGGUGUAAAGGGAGCGUAGACGGAGAGGCAAGUCUGGAGUGAAAACCCAAGGCUCAACCAUGGGACUGCUUUGGAAACUGUUUUUCUGGAGUGCCGGAGGGGUAAGCGGAAUUCCUAGUGUAGCGGUGAAAUGCGUAGAUAUUAGGAGGAACACCAGUGGCGAAGGCGGCUUACUGGACGGUAACUGACGUUGAGGCUCGAAAGCGUGGGGAGC
rnacentral:rRNA from 1 species